UACAGAGGUCCCAAGCGUUGUUCGGAUUCACUGGGCGUAAAGGGUGCGUAGGUGGUCGGGUAAGUUUGAUGUGAAAGCUCCGAGCUUAACUCGGAAAUUGCAUUGAAUACUAUUCGGCUAGAGGGUUGGAGGGGGGACUGGAAUCUCGGUGUAGCAGUGAAAUGCGUAGAUAUCGAGAGGAACACCAGUGGCGAAGGCGAGUCCCUGGACAACUCCUGACACUGAGGCACGAAAGCUAGGGGAGCAAACAGG
rnacentral:rRNA from 1 species